AGCGAACGCUGGCGGCAGGCCUAACACAUGCAAGUCGAACGAACCCUUCGGGGGUAGUGGCGCACGGGUGAGUAACACGUGGGAACGUGCCUUUAGGUUCGGAAUAACUCAGGGAAACGGGUGCUAAUACCGGAUGAGCUCUUCGGGGGAAAGAUUUAUCGCCUUUAGAGCGGCCCGCGUUUGAUUAGCUAGUUGGUUGAGGUAAUGGCUUACCAAGGCGACGAUCAGUAGCUGGUCUGAGAGGAUGAUCGGCCACAUUGGGACUGAGACACGGCCCAGACUCCUACGCGAGGCAGCAGUGGGGAAUCUUGCGCAAUGGGCGAAAGCCUGACGCAGCCAUGCCGCGUGAGUGAUGAAGGUCUUAGGGUUGUAAAGUUCUUUCACCCGGGACGAUAAUGACGGUACCCGGAGAAGAAGCCCCGGCUAACUUCGUG
rnacentral:rRNA from 1 species